UACAGAGGUCCCGAGCGUUGUUCGGAUUCAUUGGGCGUAAAGGGCGCGUAGGUGGCCCGGUCAGUCCGUGGUGAAAGCGCGGGGCUCAAACCCCGCGUCGGCCAUGGAUACUGCUGGGCUGGAGCACUGUAGAGGCAGGCGGAAUUCCUGGUGUAGCGGUGAAAUGCGCAGAUAUCAGGAGGAACACCGGUGGCGAAGGCGGGUCUCUGGGCCGAUACUGACGCUGAGGAGCGAAAGCGUGGGGAGCGAACAGG
rnacentral:rRNA from 1 species